rnacentral:rRNA from 1 species
CCUGCCCACUGAUUGAAGGGCCGCGGUAAUUUGACCGUGCAAAGGUAGCAUAAUCAUUAGUUUUUUAAUUGGAGGCUGGAAUGAAUGGUUGAAUGAGAUAUAUACUGUUUGAAUUUAAUUAUUGGGUUAGAAAGCUUAAAUGUUUUCUUGGGACGAGAAGACCCUAUAGAGUUAAUUGUAUUUUGUUGGGGUGAUAGGAAGAUAAGUAACUGUUUAUAGAUCCAUUUGAUUUUAAGACUAAAUUACCUUAGGGAUAACAGCGUAAUUUUUUUUGAGAGUUCUUAUUGAUAAAGGAGAUUGCGACCUCGAUGUUGGAUUAAA